ACAUUAUCAAAAUUAUCAACAUUGUCAACACUGAGCCGCAUUACAAACUUUGGGAAUGCAUUAAGAGAGCCAGAAAAAUAUCUUCAUAGGCAGCAGUUGGAAAAAGUUGCUGCUUGAAAAGACAUUACACAUUAAAAGUGAUUCAUCAUCGACGUGACGCGAAUGUUGUUGUAGAUCUUGUUGAAACAAAAACAAAAAACAAACGAAGCAAAAGCAAAAAGAGCCACUACAGCAAAUUGAAUGUAAUUUCAUAAAAAGCGAGUGUUAAUUUUUUCGCUGUGCGACACAAUAGCAACAGCAGCAACAACAGCAACAGCAGCAACAACAGCCACGUUGUCACAAUGGCAACAAUACAUACUCGUGGCUUAAUGUGCUAAUGCGCAGUGACAUGAAAAAUGAUGGAGAACAUGCAAGUUUUGCCCUGUCGCCCAAUAGCAACAGCAGAAGGAACAAACUAGCCAACUUAUGGUAAAAGAAAGUGGCGCAAAAAAUAUAUAUAUAGAAAGAGGCGAACAACAAGCUGCAAAUUUGAUACAUAUAGAAAAGUGGUGUGUAUCGUUGUCACGGCGCCAUAGAAAACGAGCAGAGCAACUGACAACAAGCAACAACACAUUGACAAGCGACAACAAAGCGAUACAAAAAAAUAAAGAAAA